GGGCGGAUUCCCGAGCGGUCAAAGGGGACAGACUGUAAAUCUGUUGGCUAUGCCUUCGGAGGUUCGAAUCCUUCUCCGCCCACCA
rnacentral:tRNA from 1 species